rnacentral:rRNA from 1 species
AGAGUUUGAUCCUGGCUCAGGAUGAACGCUAGCGGCAGGCUUAAUACAUGCAAGUCGAGGGGCAGCAGGGGCGUAGCAAUACGUUCGCUGGCGACCGGCAAACGGGUGCGGAACACGUACACAACCUUCCUUAAAGUGGGGGAUAGCCCGGGGAAACCCGGAUUAAUACCCCGUAACAUAAUGAAGUGGCAUCGCUUUAUUAUUAUAGCAGCAAUGCGCUUAAAGAUGGGUGUGCGACUGAUUAGGCAGUUGGCGGGGUAACGGCCCACCAAACCUACGAUCAGUAACUGGUGUGAGAGCACGACCAGUCACACGGGCACUGAGACACGGGCCCGACUCCUACGGGAGGCAGCAGUAAGGAAUAUUGGUCAAUGGACGCAAGUCUGAACCAGCCAUGCCGCGUGGAGGAUGAAGGUCCUCUGGAUUGUAAACUUCUUUUAUCUGGGAAGAAAUCCACAAAUUCUUUUGUGGUUGACGGUACCAGAUGAAUAAGCACCGGCUAACUCCGUGCCAGCAGCCGCGGUAAUACGGAGGGUGCAAGCGUUAUCCGGAUUCACUGGGUUUAAAGGGUGCGUAGGUGGGUUGGUAAGUCAGUGGUGAAAUCUCCAGGCUUAACUUGGAAACUGCCAUUGAUACUAUCAAUCUUGAAUACCGUGGAGGUCAGCGGAAUAUGUCAUGUAGCGGUGAAAUGCUUAGAGAUGACAUAGAACACCAAUUGCGAAGGCAGCUGGCUACGCGGAUAUUGACACUGAUGCACGAAAGCGUGGGGAUCAAACAGGAUUAGAUACCCUAGUAGUCC